rnacentral:rRNA from 1 species
AGUGAACGCUGGCGGUAGGCCUAACACAUGCAAGUCGAACGGCAGCACAGGAGAGCUUGCUCUCUGGGUGGCGAGUGGCGGGCGGGUGAGGAAUACAUCGGAAUCUGCCCAGUCGUGGGGGAUAACGUAGGGAAACUUACACUAAUACCGCAUACGACCUUCGGGUGAAAGAGGGGGAUCGCAAGACCUCUCGCGAUUGGAUGAGCCGAUGUCGGAUUAGCGAGUUGGCGGGGUAAUGGCCCACCAAGGCGACGAUCCGUAGCUGGUCUGAGAGGAUGAUCAGCCACACUGGAACUGAGACACGGUCCAGACUCCUACGGGAGGCAGCAGUGGGGAAUAUUGGACAAUGGGCGCAAGCCUGAUCCAGCCAUACCGCGUGGGUGAAGAAGGCCUUCGGGUUGUAAAGCCCUUUUGUUGGGAAAGAAAUCUUUCAGGCUAAUACCCUGGGAGGAUGACGGUACCCAAAGAAUAAGCACCGGCUAACUUCGUG